CCUACGGGAGGCAGCAGUGGGGAAUAUUGGGCAAUGGGCGCAAGCCUGACCCAGCCACGCCGCGUGAAGGAAGACGGCUUUCGGGUUGUUAACUUCCUUUAAGAGGGACGAGCAGACGACGGUACCUCUUGAUUUAGCCACGGCUAACUACGGGCCAGCAGCUGCGGUAAUACGGCGGUGGCAAGCGUUGUCCGGCUUUACUGGGUGUAACGGGCUCGCUGGCGGGAAGAGAAGUCAGAUGUGAAAGCCCGAGGCUCAACCGCGGAACUGCAUUUGAAACUGGUAGUCUAGAGUACCGGAGAGGUAAGCGGAAUGCAUGGUGUAGCGGUGAAAUGCGUAGAGAUAAGGAAGAACACCGAUGGCGAAGGCGGAUGACCGGGCGACAACUGACGUUGAGGCGCGAAAGCGUGGGGAGCAAACAGGAUUAGAUACCCGUGUAGUC
rnacentral:rRNA from 1 species